rnacentral:rRNA from 1 species
AUGGUAGGAUAGAGGCCUACCAUGGUGGUAACGGGUAACGGGGUGUUAGGGCACGACACCGGAGAGGGAGCCUGAGAAACGGCUACCACAUCCAAGGAAGGCAGCAGGCGCGCAAAUUACCCAAUCCCGACACGGGGAGGUAGUGACAAUAAAUAACAAUACAGGGUUCUUUGAAUCUUGUAAUUGGAAUGAGUACAAUUUAAAUCUCUUAACGAGGAACAAUUGGAGGGCAAGUCUGGUGCCAGCAGCCGCGGUAAUUCCAGCUCCAAUAGCGUAUAUNAAAGUUGUUGCAGUUAAAAAGCUCGUAGUUGAAUUUCGGGAUCAAUACGUCGGUCGUGCUUUCGGGUACGUACUGGCGUCAUUGGUUUCUCCUUUCUGACGAACCAUGAUGUCAUUAAUUUGGUGUUAUGGGGAGUUAGGACUGUUACUUUGAAAAAAUUAGAGUGUUUAAAGCAGGCAUUAGCUUGAAUACAUUAGCAUGGAAUAAUGAAAUAGGACGUUCGAUCCUAUUUGUUGGUUUCUAGGAUCAACGUAAUGAUUAAUAGGGAUAGUUGGGGGCAUUAGUAUUCAAUUGUCAGAGGUGAAAUUCUUGGAUUUAUUGAAGACUAACUACUGCGAAAGCAUUUGCCAAGGAUGUUUUCAUUAAUCAAGAACGAAAGUUAGGGGAUCGAAGACGAUCAGAUACCGUCGUAGUCUUAACCAUAAACUAUGCCGACUAGGGAUCGGAUGAUGUUAAUUUUUUAAUGACUCAUACGGCGCCUUACGGGAAACCAAAGUGUUUGGG